rnacentral:rRNA from 1 species
GACGAACGCUGGCGGCGUGCUUAACACAUGCAAGUCGAACGGUAAGGCCCUUCGGGGUACACGAGUGGCGAACGGGUGAGUAACACGUGGGUGAUCUGCCCUGCACUUCGGGAUAAGCCUGGGAAACUUGGUCUAAUACCGGGUAGGACCACUGCCUGCAUGGGGGGUGGUGGAAAGCUUUUGCGGUGUGGGAUGGGCCCGCGGCCUAUCAGCUUGUUGGUGGGGGGAUGGCCUACAAAGGCGACGAGGGGUAGCCGGCCUGAGAGGGUGACCGGCCACACUGGGACUGAGAUACGGCCCAGACUCCUACGGGAGGCAGCAGUGGGGAAUAUUGCACAAUGGGCGCAAGCCUGAUGCAGCGACGCCGCGUGAGGGAUGACGGCCUUCGGGUUGUAAACCUCUUUCAGCACCGACGAAGCGCAAGUGACGGUAGGUGCAGAAGAAGGACCGGCCAACUACGUGCCAGCCGCCGCCGUAA